UACGUAGGGUGCAAGCGUUGUCCGGAAUUAUUGGGCGUAAAGAGCUCGUAGGCGGUUUGUCGCGUCGAAUGUGAAAACCCGGGGCUCAACCCCGGGCCUGCAUUCGAUACGGGCAGACUAGAGUUCGGUAGGGGAGUCUGGAAUUCCUGGUGUAGCGGUGAAAUGCGCAGAUAUCAGGAGGAACACCGGUGGCGAAGGCGGGGUCUCUGGGCCGAUACUGACGCUGAGGAGCGAAAGCGUGGGGAGCGAACAGG
rnacentral:rRNA from 1 species